rnacentral:rRNA from 1 species
AUUGAACGCUGGCGGCAGGCUUAACACAUGCAAGUCGAACGAGUGGCGGACGGGUGAGUAAUGUCUGGGAAACUGCCUGAUGGCGGGGGAUAACUACUGGAAACGGUAGCUAAUACCGCAUACUAUCGGAUGUGCCCCGAUGGGAUUAGCUAGUAGGUGGGGUAAAGGCUCACCUAGGCGACGCUCCCUAGCUGGUCUGAGAGGAUGACCAGCAACACUGGACCUGAGAAACGGUCCAGACUCCUACGGGAGCGAGCAGUGGGUAAUAUUGGACAAUGGGCGAAAGCCUGAUGCAGCCAUGCCGCGUGUAUGAAGAAGGACUUCGGGUUGUAAAGUACUUUCAGCGGAGAAGCGUUACCCGCAGAAGAAGCACCGGCUAACUCCGUGCCAGCAGCCGCGGUAAUUC